GACAGAGGGUGCAAACGUUGCUCGGAAUCACUGGGCGUAAAGGGCGUGUAGGCGGGACGGUAAGUCGGGCGUGAAAUCCCUAGGCUCAACCUAGGAACUGCACUCGAAACUACCAUUCUUGAGUGUCGGAGAGGAAAGCGGAAUUCCUGGUGUAGAGGUGAAAUUCGUAGAUAUCAGGAGGAACACCAGUGGCGAAGGCGGCUUUCUGGACGAUAACUGACGCUGAGACGCGAAAGCGUGGGGGAGCAAACAGG
rnacentral:rRNA from 1 species